ACACGGGAAAGGAGGUGGUCCGAAGAAUGAUCGAUUCUUGGAUGCGUGAGGUGGCUGCCCGCUAGCAGCCCCAGCAACAUCGCGGGUGGAAGUGCCCGUGAAGGCUGCUGGUGAAUCCAUCGCAGUCACCCGACCCGCAGGCGAUCCGGUCUUCACAUCCACCGGAGCGGUCUCCCCGGAGGCCAGCGCCUGCGGGUCGCUGCAU
rnacentral:sRNA from 1 species